rnacentral:rRNA from 1 species
AUUGAACGCUGGCGGCAGGCCUAACACAUGCAAGUCGAGCGGAUGAAGAGAACGUGCUCCUGGAUUCAGCUGCGGACUGGUGAGUAAUGCCUAGGAAUCUGCCUGGUAGUUGGGGCUAACGGCCGGAAACGGGCGCUAAUACCGCAUACGUCCUUACGGAGAAAGGGUGGGAUCAUCGGACCUCACGCUAUCAGACGAUCCUAGGUCGGAUUAUCUAGUUGGGGGGGUAAAGGCCUACCAAGGCGACGAGCCGUAACUGGUCUGAGAGGAUGAGCAGUCAAAAUGGAACUGAGACCAGGUCCAGACUCCUACGGGAGGCCGCAGUGGGGAAUAUUGGACCAUGGGCGAAAGCCUGAUCCAGCCAUGCCGGGUGUGUGAAGAAGGUCUUCGGAUUGUAAAGCACUUUAAGUUGGGAGGAAGGGCAGUAAGUUAAUAACCUGCUGUUUCGAAGUGACCCAAAGAAUAAGCCACGGCUAACUUCGUG